GAUGAACGCUGGCGGCGUGCCUAACACAUGCAAGUCGAACGGAGUUUAUAUUAUGAAGUUUUCGGAUGGAUUAAUAUAAACUUAGUGGCGGACGGGUGAGUAACGCGUGGGUAACCUGCCUCAUACUGGGGGAUAACAACCGGAAACGGCUGCUAAAACCGCAUAAUAAAGUGAGAUCGCAUGAUUUUGCUUUUAAAUAUUUAUAGGUAUGAGAUGGGCCCGCGUCUGAUUAGCUAGUUGGUAGGGUAAAGGCCUACCAAGGCGACGAUCAGUAGCCGGCUUGAGAGAGUGACCGGCCACAUUGGGACUGAGACACGGCCCAAACUCCUACGGGAGGCAGCAGUGGGGAAUAUUGGGCAAUGGGCGAAAGCCUGACCCAGCGACGCCGCGUGGGUGAUGAAGGCCUUCGGUUGUAAACCUUCGUGCGGAAGAAUAGUCCUGUAGCGAAUAACUACGGGAUUUGACGGUACCGCAGGAAGAAGCACCGGCUAACUCCGUGCCAGCAGCCGCGGUAAU
rnacentral:rRNA from 1 species